UUUUUCAAUAAGGAAAAUAUGUCUCGAGCAUCGAGAUAACCCAUGCUCUGAAGGAUGGAGCCGCAUUGAUGAGAAUCGGUGCGCUACAUACAUCCAGAGCCAGAAAACUUUCCAUGAGGCACAGGAACACUGCAGAACCUUGAACAGUGACCUGGUGUCACUGCACGGUUAUAACGAGCUUUAUAACCUGCUCUGUUUGACCUGGCGUGCCGACCCUCGUCCCCAAACUAUUUGGAUUGGAGCCCAGAGAUCAGAGGGAUCGAUUAGGAACACCGACGGAUCUGAAUUCAAGCUGAAUGUUUGGUUCCGUGUUAACAAGUACCGUGGAAAAGACCCCUGCAUCAUCUUGAAGGUUGGAGAUGAGCCAUGGUUCAGUGCGGUACGCUGCUCCAAGGAGAAGAACUUCGUCUGUGCCAAGAAUAUGUGAUUAUCUCCAGCUGCUGUUUGCAUCAGUGUGGAUGUAAAGCAUGAAAGCACAGAUGUUUCACCAGCUGUCAAGUUAAUCCAGGAGGGAUGUGAUUGUGUUCUCAGAGAGGAAAGUGGAAGUCAUCUUGCCAGUCAUUUUCAUAUAUAUAAGAGUAUAUAUUAAUAUAGUAUAGAGGAAUAUAUUCUAAAGCUAAUCUGAAACCGUUACUGCUACUGUUGAAUAUAUAUUGAAGGACCAAAGACUGCCAGACAAAACUACUUGAAUAUGACCCCAAACGUUCUGACCUUUAGUCUGAUAUAGUGAAUUCAUCUUCAGCAUCUUCAGCAUGUUUCAUAGCCUCAGAGUGUACCACUGGGUUCAGGAAUAGAUGGGAAACUCGCUACCACCGGAGGAACGAGGCUGGAGGAUCCAAGACUCCCCCGUUCCCAUCCAUUCCAACCACCAGGAAUAAGGUAGUGAGGCACCAGUGCUUAGAAAUUCAUGAUGCAUUUAUAGUGAAAGAGCUUAGCUAGGACACUAGAGGGCACUUUAUGUCUUGUUUUGCACACUGGAAGGAACAGAUCUGUUUUUAAUGACAGUGUGAGUCAGUUCUGGGACUCCUUUUCUAUCACUGAGUAAACUGUCGACCCCUGACUAAGUGACGUAUUUUAUGGAUCUCAUAUUGUGUAAAACAAGUGAUUUGGAUGAAUUUGAGCAGAUUAUUUCCUGUGAAUAUUACAUGAGAGAUUUUAGCUCUUUGGUUGUUUUAACUGUUGACUUUUCUAAUGCAGAGACUCUGUGUUUAAUAGAGAGUGGAGGUUAUAUUUGCAGCUUGUGAUCAGCUCAAAGUUUACAUCUUAAAUAAUAAUCUAAAAACUAAUAGUUUUCCUCACAGAGAAUAA